ACAGGAUGUAACCCCGUAUGUGCUGCUCAAACAGAGUCCACAUUGAUAGAUAUAUGACAAAUGUGACUCACCUGGACAAAAAUGCUUGAGGCCGGGCCAAGACUCAAGUUACAGCUAUGCAAUAGCACAGUAUCACGUUUAAAAUAUGUGACAGUUUCAGAUGGGUGUUGGGCGAUGGUUGGGCAAUGAAUAUGCAUUUCUAUAUGUGAUGUACUGCAUGACCAUAAUAAUCAAAAUAAUGAAACCUUUAUAAUCAAAAAUGAGCAGAGACACAGGCAUUACUGAAGAACUUCACACCAAAGGAAUGGAACCGUUAUCUAAUGGAGUCAUAUGCCAACUGACCGCACACAUUCCACUAGAUCUAGAUUGAAAGACCACACACAUGCACAUUAGUGAUGCCUGUACUAGAAUCACAAAAAGCGAUGUAUUCCUUCCCUUCCUAAGUGAAAAGAGGGAGGGAACAGUCACAUUCCAUAAACGGCUAGAACGAGAUUAAAACUCAAAAGGCUUAAUUUUGGACAUGUCACUCCUCGCCACACUGACUAAACCCACUUUGCACUUUACAGUAUUCAGUGUCUGUAUAAACUCAGUAAAAAUAAAAAAAUAAAAAACCUUCCAGCUUGAGACAAGACAAAGUUCAUAAUUUACAGAAAUGCAUAGUAAAAACCUAAAGAGAAACUGAAACAUACAAUGGGGAGUUGCUUCUGUUUGUUAAUUUUAAUGAAUUGUCUUAACGCCAUGCAAGAUACAUCUGUCCUUUGGUUAUAGUUGAACUGUAGAUAAUCUAAAAACAGUGUAUACUGCACUACACAUUGUCAACUGGAUGAAAAAGUCAAUAAUCAGAUAAUUCUGAUCACACACUGAAAUAAAAUAUAUAAUUAUAAUGGCACUUUCCACAAAUAUGUUUCCCUACUCCCUAAAAGCACAAAUCCAAUGUUCUUAUGAAGAAAAAUAUUUAUUUUCAAUUUAUAUGAAAUAGUCUACCCAAAAAGAGUCCCAACUUAGGUAGGACUGUCUGUUACCCAACUUUGUUGUUUUAGUUUUUCUUUUAAAAAUGCUUGUUUAAUGUUUAUUACUAAAAUAACAAAAUCAAAUCUCAUACAACAUUUAGCUUGGCUUCUUGAAAUACAAACAAUAUUUUCUAAAUGUCAUGUACUUCCUUUCACUGAAAAUACUUCAUUUUUAAGAGUUUAAUGCCUUACUUUGUUCCCUAUUUGUAGAAAAUGUCUAAUAUCUUUGUUUCAAAUGUAUAGUAAAAGUGUGGUUAUGAUGAUCAAGGCAUAACUUAAAUGUUUAAUAAAUAGCUAAAAUAAAUGUCAACAGGAUAUUUCCUGGGUGACGAAGCUGGCUGAAUAAUGACCAAGUCGUUCUCAUCGAAAGUACAGCCACAGUAAGGAUUUCAGGCUUCUCCCAUGAAGGUUAUCUCAUCUCUCUGGCUGGUUUCAGUCUCGGAAGGGAAGGCCACAGAAUGCUUGAAUGGUUCAAACGAGGGGAAGACUUUAGCCCAGGUAGUUUCACUUGAACUCAGUCAGAGAAUAUGCCUUUUAUCCCGGCGUUCCCUGGCACUGUUUGUAUCCGAAGAAUGCGGGGGUGGAGGGGCUGUGGCAGCAUCCGUGUAUGAAAGGAGGUGCAGGGAGGUGCCUGUUGGUCACACUGGUGGGAUUGAGGGGGGGGAGUGAAGCCUGGAUGGGUCAGUGGAGGAGGGGGGAGUGUUAGCAUGAAGGACAGGAAUACUGUAGAGUCUGAUGUGCAAAAGUC